rnacentral:rRNA from 1 species
UGGAAACUGUNUGACUUGAGUGCAGAAGGGGAGAGUGGAAUUCCAUGUGUAGCGGUGAAAUGCGUAGAUAUAUGGAGGANCACCAGUGGCGAAAGCGGCUCUCUGGUCUGUCACUGACGCUGAGGCUCGAAAGCGUGGGUAGCGAACAGGAUUAGAUACCCUGGUAGUCCACGCCGUAAACGAUGAGUGCUAGGUGUUAGGCCCUUUCCGGGGCUUAGUGCCGGAGCUAACGCAAUAAGCACUCCGCCUGGGGAGUACGACCGCAAGGUUGAAACUCAAAGGAAUUGACGGGGGCCCGCACAAGCGGUGGAGCAUGUGGUUUAAUUCGAAGCAACGCGAAGAACCUCACCAGGUCUUGACAUCCCGAUGCUAUUCUUAGAGAUAGGAAGUUACUUCGGUACAUCGGAGACAGGUGGUGCAUGGUUGUCGUCAGCUCGUGUCGUGAGAUGUUGGGUUAAGUCCCGCAACGAGCGCAACCCUUAUUGUUAGUUGCCAUCAUUAAGUUGGGCACUCUAGCGAGACUGCCGGUAAUAAACCGGAGGAAGGUGGGGAUGACGUCAAAUCAUCAUGCCCCUUAUGACCUGGGCUACACACGUGCUACAAUGGUCGGUACAACGAGUUGCGAGCCGGUGACGGCAAGCUAAUCUCUGAAAGCCGAUCUCAGUUCGGAUUGGAGGCUGCAACUCGCCUCCAUGAAGUCGGAAUCGCUAGUAAUCGCGGAUCAGCACGCCGCGGUGAAUACGUUCCCGGGCCUUGUACGCACCGCCCGUCACACCACGAGAGUUUGUAACACCCGAAGUCGGUGAGGUAACCUUUUAGGGGCCAG